rnacentral:misc_RNA from 1 species
UGGUCGUCGAUUGUCCCUCUGCUUACAACAUCAUCCUCGGCCGCACCGCUCUAAAUGCUUUCCAAGCUAUCAUAUCCACUUUCCAUCUUGCCGUUAAAUUCCCCACCAACCUUGGGGUUGGCACAGUGAGGGGUGAGCAGACCAUGGCCAGGGAAUGUUACGUUGUUUCACUUAAAGAAGUCAAGCUAAAGAAGGCUAUGAUCACUGAAGGGCUAGACAUCAGGGACGAGGAUGAGCUGGUCAGAGGGGAACCAGUGGAAGAGCUUGUCGAAGUCCACAUUGAUCCCACCAACCCGACAAAAACUACCAAGAUCGGCAGCCAACUAUCCUCUCAGGCCAAGGCCAACCUUACCGCCUUCUUGAUUGAGCACAAUAAUGUAUUUGCCUGGGCCCACUCUGA